UAUAAACCGUGGUAGAUAUUGUACAAAUAAUACUCACUGUUUAACGGGAUAUUAUAUUACAUAGUCCAUACCCAUCCUUGGCUUUACUUAUCUAUCAAAGUGUAACAAUAACAAGAACCAAAACCAGCAAAAUAAUCAUGGCAUCAAGUUAUAGAAUGAACAAUUAUCGACGGGGAAAGGCUGUAAUUAUAAAUAAUGUAGAUUUUAUGGCAGUGAAUAAUCGUACAGGAUCAACAAAAGAUUCCACAGCAUUAAGUCAUUGUCUUUCAAGACUUGGAUUUGAAAUAAGUGUACACGAAGACCAAACUAGACAGCAAACUAUUGACACUUUGGAAAGAGUUGCCCAUGAGAAUCACAGCGACGCUGAUUGUUUAAUUGUAUCAAUGAUGUCCCACGGAGGAAAAGAUAUUAUCUGUGCUGCUGAUUAUGAUCCAUCUAGGGGGACUGGUUUGCUUACCUUGGAUGAUAUAACAGACCCAUUCAAGGGUGAUAACUGUCCUUCCUUAGCCGGAAAACCAAAGAUUUUUAUCAUUAAUGCGUGUCGUGGCGAUCAGAUAGAUCUUGGUGUUGAAGAAUGUGAUCAAGUAGACAGUAUAGCGAAUAAUAAAGUACCUGCACAAGCUGAUUUCUUUAUAUUCUACUCUUGCUCAGAUGGUUACACAUCAAUAAGGGAAGAGUCCACAGGGUCGUACUUCAUUCAAGAUUUUUGUCGAGUUUUUAAUGAAUAUGGGAGACUCUUGCAUCUUGGUGAAUUGGCGUUAAAAGUGAAAAUGAUUGUGGCAGCUAGAUUACUUCUCGUUGAAGAAUGUUCUGAUCGUGAAAUGCAGAUGCCUGUUACAGUGGACACAUUGCGUAAACUUGUUUACUUCACGUAAAUAUCCCUUCACACAAUUUCAUGGAAAGAAUAUAUUAAGUGUAUGAGAAAGCGAGUCUGUGUUCAGUGAAGAAAAUGACCAAAAAUACCUCAAAUAUACUUUUGGAAAAAUUAUUUCAUGAAUUUUACCAAAGGCUAAUUUCCGAAGUGAUCGAAGAAUAUAAACCCAAAACAUUAUUUAACAGAGAGAGAGAGAGAAAUAUGUUAGUCCCGAAAUGGCCUAGUUUGUGUUGAGUGUACAUUAAACCUCUUUUUUCUGUCUCUCUCACAAUCGCUGAUCACCAUUUCUCCCUGCAUAAUCCACGCUAAAAUGGAUACAUUCAUAUUGAUAAUUAUGCUUAUCCACGUAUACAAUAAUUCCUAAUUUUAAAUAUUUAUGAAGCCAGUAUUUAUUAUCUUGUUUACAAUAUACAAUAAUAAUAUUAUAUAAUUAUUA